GUCUAAGUAUAAGCAACUAUACGGUGAAACUGCGAAUGGCUCAUUAAAUCAGUUAUCGUUUAUUUGAUAGUACCUUACUACAUGGAUAACCGUGGUAAUUCUAGAGCUAAUACAUGCUAAAAACCCCGACUUCGGGAGGGGUGUAUUUAUUAGAUAAAAAACCAAUGCCCUUCGGGGCUCCUUGGUGAAUCAUAAUAACUUAACGAAUCGCAUGGCCUUGCGCCGGCGAUGGUUCAUUCAAAUUUCUGCCCUAUCAACUUUCGAUGGUAGGAUAGUGGCCUACCAUGGUAUCAACGGGUAACGGGGAAUUAGGGUUCUAUUCCGGAGAGGGAGCCUGAGAAACGGCUACCACAUCCAAGGAAGGCAGCAGGCGCGCAAAUUACCCAAUCCCGACACGGGGAGGUAGUGACAAUAAAUACUGAUACAGGGCUCUUUUGGGUCUUGUAAUUGGAAUGAGUACAAUUAAAUCCCUAACGAGAACAAUUGACG
rnacentral:rRNA from 1 species